UGGUAGCACUGAAUUGGACCUACGCAGA
rnacentral:piRNA from 1 species